GACGUAGGGCGCGAGCGUUGUCCGGAUUUAUUGGGCGUAAAGAGCGUGUAGGCGGCCAGAUAAGUCCGCUGUGAAAUCUCGAGGCUCAACUUCGAGCUGUCGGUGGAAACUGUCUGGCUAGAGUCCGGAAGAGGAGAAUGGAAUUCCUGGUGUAGCGGUGAAAUGCGCAGAUAUCAGGAAGAACACCCGUGGCGAAGGCGGUUCUCUGGGACGGUACUGACGCUGAGACGCGAAAGCGUGGGGAGCGAACAGG
rnacentral:rRNA from 1 species